UGGCUCAGUGAUAGAGUGCUUGCCUUGCAUGCAUGAGGCCCUGGGUUCGAUUCCCCAG
rnacentral:tRNA from 1 species